CCAUGGAAGUCGGAAUCCGCUAAGGAGUGUGCAAUAACUCACCUGCCAAAUCAACCAGCCCUGAAAAUGGAUGGCGCUGGAGCGUUGGGCCCAUACCCAGCCGUCGCCAGCAGUGCGAGGCCCGCAGGGGCUAGGCCGCAACAAGUAGGAGGGCCGCUGCGGUGUGCCUUGAAGCCUGGGGUGCGGGCCCGGGUGGAGCCACCGCAGGUGCAGAUCUUGGUGGUAGUAGCAAAUAUUCAAACAAGAGCUUUGAAGGCUGAAGUGGAGCGGGGUUCCAUGUGAACAGCAGUUGAACAUGAGUCAGUCGGUCCUAAGCGACAGGUGAGCGCCAUUCCGGAAGGGCAGGCGAUGGCCUCCAUUGCCCUCAGCCAAUCGAAAGGGAGUCAGGUUCAGAGCAGUGUGCCCGGGUGGCCAAGAAGGCCAACAGCAUCCUGGCUUGUAUCAGGAAUAGUGUGGCCAGCAGGACCAGGGCAGUGACUGUCCCCCUGUACUCAGCUCUGGUG
rnacentral:ncRNA from 1 species